rnacentral:rRNA from 1 species
CUCGCUGUGAAGAUGCAGUGUACCCGCGGCAAGACGGAAAGACCCCGUGAACCUUUACUAUAGCUUGACACUGAACAUUGAGCCUUGAUGUGUAGGAUAGGUGGGAGGCUUUGAAGUGUGGACGCCAGUCUGCAUGGAGCCGACCUUGAAAUACCACCCUUUAAUGUUUGAUGUUCUAACGUGGACCCGUAAUCCGGGUUGCGGACAGUGUCUGGUGGGUAGUUUGACUGGGGCGGUCUCCUCCUAAAGAGUAACGGAGGAGCACGAAGGUUGGCUAAUCCUGGUCGGACAUCAGGAGGUUAGUGCAAUGGCAUAAGCCAGCUUGACUGCGAGCGUGACGGCGCGAGCAGGUGCGAAAGCAGGUCAUAGUGAUCCGGUGGUUCUGAAUGGAAGGGCCAUCGCUCAACGGAUAAAAGGUACUCCGGGGAUAACAGGCUGAUACCGCCCAAGAGUUCAUAUCGACGGCGGUGUUUGGCACCUCGAUGUCGGCUCAUCACAUCCUGGGGCUGAAGUAGGUCCCAAGGGUAUGGCUGUUCGCCAUUUAAAGUGGUACGCGAGCUGGGUUUAGAACGUCGUGAGACAGUUCGGUCCCUAUCUGCCGUGGGCGCUGGAGAACUGAGGGGGGCUGCUCCUAGUACGAGAGGACCGGAGUGGACGCAUCACUGGUGUUCGGGUUGUCAUGCCAAUGGCACUGCCCGGUAGCUAAAUGCGGAAGAGAUAAGUGCUGAAAGCAUCUAAGCACGAAACUUGCCCCGAGAUGAGUUCUCCCUGAGACUUAGAGUCUCCUGAAGGAACGUUGAAGACGACGACGUUGAUAGGCCGGGUGUGUAAGCGCAGCGAUGCGUUGAGCUAACCGGUACUAAUGAACCGUGAGGCUUAACCUUACA